rnacentral:rRNA from 1 species
GCACAUGACGUGGAGGCGGGGGCGGUAAGACGUAGGGGGAGGCUGUUGUCGUGAAUUACUGGGGUUAAAGAGGUCGUGGGCGGGUUGUCGGGUUGUCCGUGAAAAGUUACAGCUCAAGUGUGAACUGGCGGGCGAUAGGGGCAGGCUAGAGUACUGCAGGGGAGACUGGAAUUCCUGGUGUAGCGGUGAAAUGCGCAGAUAUCAGGAGGAACACCGGUGGCGAAGGCGGGUCUCUGGGCAGUAACUGACGCUGAGGAGCGAAAGCGUGGGGAGCGAACAGGAUUAGAUACCCUAGUAGUC